rnacentral:rRNA from 1 species
UACAGAGGGUGCGAGCGUUGUCCGGAAUCACUGGGCGUAAAGGGCGCGUAGGUGGUGGCUUAAGCGUGCGGUGAAAGCUCGGAGCUCAACUCCGAGUCGGCCGUGCGAACUGGGCUCACUGGAGCAUAGUAGAGGCAGGUGGAAUUCCGGGUGUAGCGGUGGAAUGCGUAGAUAUCUGGAGGAAUACCGGUGGCGAAGGCGGCAUCCUGGACCGGCAUUGACGCUGAGGAGCGAAAGCUAGGGGAGCGAACAGG